rnacentral:tRNA from 1 species
GGAAGGUUGGCAGAGCGGUUGAAUGCACCGGUCUUGAAAACCGGCGAUGUCGCAAGGCAUCCCAGGGUUCGAAUCCCUGACCUUCCGCCA